UGGUGGAGGGGGCAGAAAGAAAAAAGAAAGAGGCGUCUUAUGCUCAUAGAGCCGGCGGGUCUAGCCCUGACGUCUACACGGAGGAGAAGAUUGUCGCCAGUGAGAUGGUCGAUGUUUCUGAGGGAGAAGAGGCCACCCGGCAACCCAAGAGGGUGGCCAAGAUCCAUAAUCACGGAAAGGACAGUUCCGUCUUUUCCUUAUUUCUCGCUCUCUUUAUGUUCUGGAGGUGCUCCAUCACUAGGCAUUUGUUUUUUCCGGGAAUUCUGGCGAGCCACGGAUGCUUAUUUAUCAGGAUUUUACUUGCUCUGCAAUUUUUUCAUUUUGUUUAUGUCUGGUACAACUUCUGGACUUGUUGGUCUUUGAGGUACUUGUUCAUCAUUCUUGGUUUUCCUGUGUUCACGUGAUGAAGCCGCUCUUCCCUUCCCCCUUCUCUCUUUCAAAGGUGAACCAACGUGCUAUGAACAAGCGCAAUCGUGAAUCUAUUUCCCCACCAUUGCCGGAAUCGAAGAAAUGCAAUGGCUCCAAUGGAAGUAGAUUGACACCCAUGGGAUAUUCAAAUGGCAUAAAGAAAUCUAGACAGAGCCUGAAGCAGGCCAAUGCAAUGGACAGAUCCCCAAGGACAACAGUCCCCAUACCCCGGUAACAAAAACUGAAGAAGAAGUGGCAGAAGCUUCGUAUCACUUGUCAAGAAUGUUCACUGGUAGUCCUGUUAGAAGCAAAACUGCAGAGACAGAAAUUGAAGAAACAAAACCAUUGCCUUCGCCAGAGGAGAGACCUAAUAGAUUGCCUCUUGAUUCUGCUGCUGAAGAUGCUAAGAAGAGGGAACAGGAGAUGGUUGAUGCGUCUACUGAUGAUGUAUUGAGAAAUCCUGUUGACGUUAAAACUUCUGCAGAUCCUACUACCAUUAUAGCCCAACCUCGUGCUGCUAUCCCUCUCCCUGAAAAGCUUGAUCUAGAGUCCCAUGUUCAGUUGGAUCUUGAUCUAGAGUCCCAUGUUCAGCUGGAUCCACAUAACAAUACUCA